GAGUUUGAUCCUGGCUCAGGAUGAACGCUAGCGGCAGGCCUAAUACAUGCAAGUCGAGGGGCAGCAGGUGUAGCAAUACAUGCUGGCGACCGGCGCACGGGUGCGUAACACGUAUGUAAUCUACCCAUUACUGGAAGAUAGCCCGGAGAAAUUCGGAUUAAUACUCCAUAACACUAUAGUAUGGCAUCAUACAGUAGUUAAAGAUUUAUCGGUAAUGGAAGAGCAUGCGGCUGAUUAGCUAGUUGGUGAGGUAACGGCUCACCAAGGCGACGAUCAGUAGGGGACCUGAGAGGGUGAUCCCCCACACUGGUACUGAGAUACGGACCAGACUCCUACGGGAGGCAGCAGUAGGGAAUAUUGGGCAAUGGAGGCAACUCUGACCCAGCCAUGCCGCGUGCAGGAAGACGGCCUUCUGGGUUGUAAACUGCUUUUGAUCGGGAACAAAGAGCCCUUGCGAGGGAAGUUGAGUGUACCGAUAGAAUAAGCACCGGCUAACUCCGU
rnacentral:rRNA from 1 species